rnacentral:rRNA from 1 species
GGUUCUAUUUUGUUGGUUUCUAGGACCGCCGUAAUGAUUAAUAGGGACAGUCGGGGGCAUCAGUAUUCAAUUGUCAGAGGUGAAAUUCUUGGAUUUAUUGAAGACUAACUACUGCGAAAGCAUUUGCCAAGGAUGUUUUCAUUAAUCAGGAACGAAAGUUAGGGGAUCGAAGACGAUCAGAUACCGUCGUAGUCUUAACCAUAAACUAUGCCGACUAGGGAUCGGACGAUGUUAUUUUUUGACUCGUUCGGCACCUUACGAGAAAUCAAAGUGCUUGGGCUCCAGGGGGAGUAUGGUCGCAAGGCUGAAACUUAAAGAAAUUGACGGAAGGGCACCACCAGGGGUGGAGCCUGCGGCUUAAUUUGACUCAACACGGGGAAACUCACCAGGUCCAGACACAAUAAGGAUUGACAGAUUGAGAG